rnacentral:lncRNA from 1 species
ACUAAAGUGAGUUCCCAGUAAAAAAAAGUCCUAUCAUUUCAACUUGUAUAUCUAUUUAUAACUGACAACAAUAUGCAUAACCUUUUAGUUUAAACAUAUUUUACUUGCAAAAGUAGCAAAAGGGAUUGGACACAAGUUAUAACAACAUUAGAGACGUCCUCUCCCAAUAUAAAUAUAAACACAAAGUACAUUAGAUAAUGGCGAAAAAAAACACAACAUAGUAGUAAUGCAUGUAAUACAUACUUCAAACAAAAAUUAGAAAUAAAAAGAAAAAAGAAAAAAAAAAUACAAUAUAAUAAGGAAUAAUAAUGAAACAACUAGAC